rnacentral:tRNA from 1 species
GGCAAUUAUGACAUAGGGAGUGCUGCCUUCGCACGGUAGAGGCCGCUGGUUCGAUCCCAGCAUCGCCCA